UCCAACUGACUUCCGACCUCCGACGACAUCUCUUCAAACCUCUCUGGCAGCCGAGCCUCUGCAACACUCCCAAAUUUUGCUGACGGAUAAGCCCCCACCAGCGUCGACCGGAUUCUUCGCAACGGACGAACUCCACCCAAGUUUCCACGAUGAUCGACCAUCUUCUAGACUUCGCUCGGACUCCUACGGGAGCCGGACCUCGUCCCCAGCUUCGGC
rnacentral:lncRNA from 1 species